rnacentral:lncRNA from 1 species
CACAGCCCUAUCCACCGGCGGGAAACGGGCCGCGGAGCGCGAGGAGGGGCCGCGCGAGGACACCAAGUGGCCCCUCACGGCGCCCUGGCCUCCCUACCAUCCGGGAGGACCAGUGGCCCAGCGGCCAGUUUCAGCGGAUUGGCGGAGCCCAGAGGAUGGACUCCGCCUCUUCCGAAGGACAGACAAUCUAGAUGCUGGCCGCCGCCGGGUCCUCUCCAGCUCAGUCAACGUCACCUUUAGGGACGAGGACCUGGUAUGCGUCUCUGCAGGGUUCCUGGAGCCCCCUUACUCCAGCCAUAAUACCACCGUCCUUAUACUUGGCGAUAGCAGGCACACACCCCUGGAACUUGACAUCUUUCCAGAAGUGGUGUGCUUUCCACCGGGGUUCGAGGUAACGGUCUCCGUUACGUGUCAUAGCCCGCCAUUCACGCUGGAGAAGGGAGUUCCUCUUGCCCUAAUGUAUAUUUUGGACAGCACAGCCGACGAACUCGAUCAGGACCGGGGUGGGGGGGACAAAUAUGUUUUCCUCACCCAAAAUGUAUGCCGAGAAAGACCAUUAAUCGAUACCAUCAUCUCUCAGCAGGGGAAGUCCAUCUCACUCAAACUAAUGGCAGACACCGGAGCAGAUGUCACCAUCAUUCCCAGGGCAAAGUGGCCUCGCGACUGGGAGUUGGUGUCCCCUUGUGGCACUAUCUCUGGAGUGGGUGGAGCGGUCAAUUCCCUUCGUAGCCGACAUCUGGUAAGCGUGGAGGGCCCGGAGGGACAAAUAGCCACGGUGAGACCCUUUGUCGUCUCAUCGAAUAUUAUGCUGUUGGGAAGGGAUGUUUUGUCCCAGUGGGGUGCCCGUCUGGACAUUCCUUGCCCUGCGUGGGAUUUUUAGUAUGGGCCACUGCGGAGCGCACCUCCCCACCGCUGAAUUGGAAAACUGAUAAUCCGGUGUGGGUAGACCAGUGGCCCCUUCCAGAAGAAAAAUUAAUAGCGCUCAACAACUUGGUAGAGGAGCAGGUACGCCAGGGGCAUUUAAUACCUUCCACCAGUCCCUGGAACACACCUGUCUUUGUAAUAAAGAAACCU